CAAAUUUACUUGAGCAAAUGACUGUGGAGCAGCCAUGCAGCUAUUUUGCCUUCUGGAACAGUGAUCUUAUCAAAUGUACGUGAGAACGAUGCAUCUGUGGAAACUCUGAAGUCAAAAGCAGUACCUGAAAAGAAGGAAGAAAAAGCAAUGAAGGCAGGAGAGCAAGAUAAACCAAAGAUGAAACAAGCAAAUCCUGGAAAAGACAAAGAAUUGAAAUCUCCAGCUGCUACAAAAGAUAAAGAACACACUAAAGAAAAGGAAGGAAAGAAUCCUGCAGCUUUAAAAGAUAAAGAGUCUCUGAAAGGAAAAAAUCCCAAGAAUCCAGAGGGGUCAAAGGAUAAAGAGACUGGUAAAAGAAAAGAUGUGAGGCCUUCAGCAGUCUUAAAGGAAAAGGGAAAAGAAAUGAAGGUUUUGACUACAACUAAGGAGAAAGCUACGGUGAAAAAGGAAGGGGAGAAGAAAGGUACUUCAGAAAAAACUCAUGAACACAAACCUGCAAAUAUUAAACAUGAAAAAGCUAUCUCUCAGAUGAAGCCAGAGGAGAAAAUUAAACAACCAAAGACAGCUCCCACUGAGAAGUCAGCCCAGGCAAAACCAGCAAGUAUGUGGUACCUACCUUGA
rnacentral:lncRNA from 1 species